rnacentral:rRNA from 1 species
GUCUACAGCCAUGCCAUCCUGAACAAGCCUGAUGUCUGAUCUCGUAAGCCAAGCAGGGUCAGGCCUGGUUAGUACUUGGAUGGGAGACCACCUAGGAAGACCAGGUGCUGUAGACA